rfam:Streptomyces albulus strain NK660, complete genome.
CCUCCGCCCUCCCCGCACAGGAGGGCGGAUCGAGGCCCACGGCGCUCUCUGCCCUGACUGCGCCCGGGCCUCCGAUCGACCGGUCCCAGGACGGGACCGCGUCCCCAACCGCACAGGGGGCGCGCCCCGCCCGUACUACGGGGCCGGCCGAUGUCAGCUCCGGGCUGCGGUGCCGGACAGGUUGAGGGUCCUGUCCCGGCGC